rnacentral:lncRNA from 1 species
GUGAGCCUUUACAGUAAACUUCCUUUGUUAGGUAGGGGCUAGCUAAUGCCAGUUGGUCUCUAUUUCUUACAUCUAAAAAGAAACCUGAACUAAAACAUAGAACAAACACCAGAAUUGGGUCAAGGGUUGUAGUCUUAUUGUUUCUCAAUUAAAAGAAUAUUAUUUUUAAAAGUUCAAAAUAGAAUGAAACAAAAUCCCAUUUAAAUAUGGAGCUGGAAGUUAAAAUAUUUUAGUGACUCCUUUGGACCUGAGACAAAUUAUACUGGAGACUAGCUGUCAUCUGAAAUCACUUUUUCUUAAGUUUUUUUGGUUCAAUUAUUGCAUAAAGACCUAACAGUUAGAGAAAUAAGGAAUGUAUUUUUAUUUCUCUGUAGCCCCAUACUCCUGGGGAUGACAUUUCAACCUUUGCUCUAUCAGUUUCUACGAUUUUCUUACCCUCUGAACCUACCAAUAUACUUUUCUUACUAGGCUCCAGCUUUGAAUCAAUCAUGCUAUUUGUUUUCUCAGCUCCUGGGCUGUUAUAUUGUAAAGAUUCUUUACUGCACUAGCAUGAACCUAUAGUCAUCAGCUGAGCUUUCAAUGGCACAUGACAAUGUCACUGAGCAGCUCAUGCUUCUCUUCUCCAAAAUAGAGAUUCCAAAUUUCUAACACUUUCUAUAAAUCCCCUUCCAGCUCAGAUUGUUCCUUUUUUAAAAGUUAUUUGUAUCCUACUUCCUAGAAAAAAAAUUGACCUAUGAAAUAUAAAAUCCCUCAUUAAAAUUAUGAAGCAGAUAAGGAUGUCUUGAUAUGGUUUGGCUGUGUGUCAUGGGAGAGACCCAGUGGGAGGGAAUUGAAUCAUGGGAAGGGGAGUUCCCCUGCACAUGCUCUCUUGCCUGCUGCCAUGUAAAACAUGACUUUUCUCCUCCUUUGCCUUCCACCAUGAUUGUGAGGCCUCCCCAGCUAUGUGGAACUGUGAGUCCACUAAACGCCAUUUUCUUUAUAAAUUACCCAGUCUCAGGGACGUCUUUAUUAGCAGCAUGAAAAUGGACUAAUACAAAUGGAUACAAAAAACUGACUGUCUAGAGUUAGGCCACUCAGGCCUGGGUGUGGUGGUUGUGUGAUACUUUGGGAACCUCAUCUCCUUGUUUUUUUCUCCUCCAUAAUCCUGCAAGUGUGGCUUUAGGCCUCAUGGCCUUGCAAGGCUCCUGCAAUUUCAUGUUUCUUUCAAGAAGAAGAGGAACAGUCUCCCCUAAACUCCCCUCCCCUUCCCCUUCUUCAGCCUCCAUCUGGAGAUUUCUGCUCACAGGGUUUUGGCUAGAACUGUGACACGUAGCCACUUUUACCUUUAAUAAUGACUUGAAAAUGUAGAUUAUUUUUGCUUUUCAAUUUCUUAAACUAGAUACAUUUCUACCGAAAACAAAACUGGACAUGGUAGACAUUUAUGUGUUCUUUGUAAUUUCAGUGGCAGUG